CUGAGACGCCUAGCAACCAUAGGCAUGGAGAUGGGAGAUGGAAUCUUCCGAUCAAGAAAUAGAUAGUAAGCCAUGAUAACUGGACCUUAGUGUGCACGGAUUGGGUAAAAUGUAAGAAGACUAGCAAGGUUCUUCCCUCUCAUCUCCCUCAUCUGGUGCAGCCCUGGUUGCUAUACCUCCAGAAGAAGCAGUAAGAAUCUCACACAUUGCUCUUUCUUUCUCGCUCUCCGCCUCUUCUGGUUCUUGGAGCGUCUAUUA
rnacentral:lncRNA from 1 species